rnacentral:rRNA from 1 species
AUUGAACGCUGGCGGCAUGCCUUACACAUGCAAGUCGAACGGCAGCACGGACUUCGGUCUGGUGGCGAGUGGCGAACGGGUGAGUAAUGUAUCGGAACGUACCUUUCAGUGGGGGGAUAACGUAGCGAAAGUUACGCUAAUACCGCAUAUUCUGUGAGCAGGAAAGCAGGGGAUCGCAAGACCUUGCGCUGAUUGAGCGGCCGAUAUCAGAUUAGCUAGUUGGUGGGGUAAAGGCCUACCAAGGCGACGAUCUGUAGCGGGUCUGAGAGGAUGAUCCGCCACACUGGAACUGAGACACGGUCCAGACUCCUACGGGAGGCAGCAGUGGGGAAUUUUGGACAAUGGGGGCAACCCUGAUCCAGCCAUGCCGCGUGAGUGAAGAAGGCCUUCGGGUUGGUAAAGACUCUUUCGGUCCGGGAACGGAAAUACGGCACAGGCUAAUACCCUGUGUGGAUGACGGUACCGGAAUAAGAAGACACCGG